rnacentral:lncRNA from 1 species
AGAAACUGUAUGAUGCCAUUUUUGCUUAAAACAGAAUUCAACUAUAUAAACAUAGAAAAACAUCUGUAAACUUAAGACACCAAUAUAUUACUAAUAGUAACUGUGACAGACUCUAAGGUGACCCUCCUGGUGUACAUCCCCUUCCUUCCAGUGUGAGUAGAACCUGUGACUUGCUUCUAGCUAACAGAAUAUGGCAAAGAUAAUGAGAUGUCACUCUUGUCAUUUUGUUACAUUAAAUGAUUCUACCUUGCUAGCAGACUCAUUCUUGCUCUCCUGCUGGCUCUGAAUGAGCUCACUGCUAUGUUGUGGACUUCCUAUGGAGAGGGCCACGUGGCAGGGAACUGGCCGUUAGGAGCUGAGGGCCAGCUCUGGCCUAUAGCCAGUAAAA